UAUUACCGCUGCCUCCAGGAGGGCUUGAGAGCUCUUUUUUUUACUUUUAGGGCAGGAGAGAGGGCGUUGGAGGGAGGGAGGGGUGCAAAGGGAGUUGGAGGGUGGCUAGGUCGGCGGGAUGGGACGUGGUGGAGGAUGGAGCGGGUGGGGCGUAGCGGAGGAUGGAGCGCGUGGCGCCGGCGACAGCGGCGGGGUGGGGCGCGGCGGAGGAUGGAGCGGAUGGGGCGCGCGACGGCGGCGCAUGAUGGAGCGGGUGGGGCGCACGGCGGCAGCGGGAUGGGACGAGGCGGUGGUGCCCUAGGGCCGGCCAGCCGAAGGGGGCUCGUGGGGGCCGGGGGUACGCGCGAUCGGCGGUGGGCUGCGUUUAGUCAGCGGUGGGGUCGCGAGGGAAGGGGCACGAUAGGUAGCUACGGCCGACCGGCUCGCGGAGGCUGUCCUACGCAGCGGUGCCAGGUCAGUGACCCCCAGCGAGAGGGACUGAGUGUCGACUUCCUCUGGCCGUCGAAGGAGCUACCUCGUGACGUCUUCCGGUAGCUCGGAUGUUGGUCUUGGUCCUGCUCGGGGAGUUAAAUGAUCAAAGUUAAAAAUAACGUUAGCGUUUGAGACAAACGGGGAAGGAACUAGGUUAGAAAAAAACAACGACGAGGUGUAGCGUACGUGGACGGUUGCACCGCGGGGGUUGGGUACUUGGAAGUGGACGAACAAUUGGAAGAGCGUUUCAGGUGGAGCUGGAAGGACCCUAGACCGAGCGUCCCACGUGCGUCAGAGCAGGAUCGAACGACGUCGACCCACUUGGAGGUGGCCGGACUUCUACGUUCUCUCCCUCUAUGUCUCGUACACAUCAUAUACCUGACGAGCGUGCGCGACGGUGCCUGACGAGGCGGGUCGCGGGGGUGUGGGGCGCACAGCGGACGCACGGUGUGGCAUCGGUGGAGAGGGUGUGCAACUACUUCUCCAGACAGAGAGAAAGGAGGGGACGAGUGGCAGGACACGCUGUCACCUGCGCUGAAGAACUCCCUUGUUUCGGGCAGGAGGGUCGUGGCCGUCAGAGGGACGUGGGACGUUUUUUAAUUUAUUUAGCGUUCAAGUCUUAGUUCUUUGGUACUUCAAGUUUCUGUUGUUUCCCUGUUGUUACAACUACCACUAACUUCUUCCUAGGACCUUUAUAAUAAUAACCCUGGCAUCCGUUCAAAAUACGUGCCACACUCUCCUAAGGUCCUUAACAAGACUUCGCCAGCUACCGAAAGCUCUCUACGCUAGUAUAGAGUGUUCAAAGGUCCCCCAACUUCUAGUAAAUAUAUUCUACCUUUACAGUUUCCAAGUCUGCCGUCGUGUGAAUUUUUAUGACCACUUUUUAGACUUGUACACAUCACGUUAGUACCCUUUUUGGAACUUAAAAAUAGCGAGCUGGAGACGACUAGAGAGCAUAUCAAAAACAAUACACAAGAAGUAACUCACCAUGUUGACUUGUAUAGGUGCCCUCUAGGUACGAUACCAUAUCUAAACACUUUAAUGAAACAUGACUAAUCAUAUAAAGUGACACCCAUUACCCGCGUACUGAAGUACACAAGUGAUAAAUAAAAAAAGCGAACUAAACAUCGGUUUAAUAAAUAAUUAUAACACUAAGUUCACGGAGCACGUACAUACAAUGAUCGUUCUCCCGGACACGCAACGUUGCCCUCCUUUUUACAGUGUGCAAGAAUAUC
rnacentral:rRNA from 1 species